rnacentral:hammerhead_ribozyme from 1 species
UUUAAGCUGAUGUGUCCCAAAUAGGACGAAACGCACAUCCUGAAU